rnacentral:rRNA from 1 species
AGUCGAGCGAAUGGAUUAAGAGCUUGCUCUUAUGAAGUUAGCGGCGGACGGGUGAGUAACACGUGGGUAACCUGCCCAUAAGACUGGGAUAACUCCGGGAAACCGGGGCUAAUACCGGAUAACAUUUUGAACUGCAUGGUUCGAAAUUGAAAGGCGGCUUCGGCUGUCACUUAUGGAUGGACCCGCGUCGCAUUAGCUAGUUGGUGAGGUAACGGCUCACCAAGGCAACGAUGCGUAGCCGACCUGAGAGGGUGAUCGGCCACACUGGGACUGAGACACGGCCCAGACUCCUACGGGAGGCAGCAGU